AGAUAUUGUCUUGCUCAGGUUCCCUUGUUGGAGAUGAGGAAACCGAGGCCCAGCGGGGUUAAAUGGCCUUCCAGGGGCCCAAAUUAACACAGUUGGCGAUCUGCGGAGGAACCGAAGUCACUAAUGUCUCCACUCUGUCCUUCACGGGAUAUGGAGAAGCCCAAGGCUAGGGAGAUACCAGUGUCUCCUUUGUGGGGUGCCCAACGACUGAGAAAAUUAACACAGUUGGCGACCUGCAGAGGAACCACAGUCACUAAUGUCUCCACUCCGUCCUUCACGGGAGUAUGGAGAAGCCCAAGGCUAGGGAGAUACCAGUGUCUCCUUUGUGGGGUGCCCAACGACUGAGAAAAUUAACACAGUUGGCGACCUGCAGAGGAACCACAGUCACUAAUGUCUCCACUCCGUCCUUCACGGGAGUAUGGAGAAGCCCAAGGCUAGGGAGAUACCAGUGUCUCCUUUGUGGGGUGCCCAACGACUGAGAAAAUGAUACUGAAGAAGGGAUGGCAACAGUAAUACACUGAAGCUUAGAGACACUCUGAAAAACAUAAGAAGCACAUAAAAUGAUGGGGUAAGACAAAACAAACAAACAAACAAAAAACCUUAGAAACACCUAAUCUACUGAACCAUGAAUUUUGAGAGAAGGGAUUCUAGAUUCUGUUGUAUGCAUCCUUGAAUUUCAAGUGCCAGGAAGAGCACCUAACUCAUAGCAGGAUCUCAAGGCUGUUGUUGAAAAAUGGCUUCACAUUUCCUCAAGGGGUUCCUAAGCAAUAGGAAGCCUUGCAUCGUAGUUCCUCUUCACCAGCCGUUGAGAUUGCAACAGCCCAUCCUGGGCAGUGGGGGAAACUGUGUGCAUACAACUGGCAUAUUGGCAACACCAGGACUGAUUUUAUUUUUAUUUUUAUUUAUUUAUUUAUUUAUUUUGCUUUUUAGGGCUGCGCCCAAAGCAUAUGGAGGGUCCCAGUCUAGGGGUUGAAUCAGAGCUGCCAGCCUAUGCCAUAGCCACAGCAACAUAGGAUCCAAGCCGUGUCUGCAGCCUACACCACAGCUCACGGCAACGCUGGAUCCUUAACCCAUUGAGCAAGGCCAGGGAUCGAACCUGCAUCUUCAUGGAUGCUAGUCAGAUUUAUUAACCACUGAGCCAUGACGGAAACUCCCAGGACUGAUUUUGACUCCUGGCUGAGCCCUGCCUACCAACAUGAACUGUGCCAUCAAAGCCACUUCUGUUCAACAGCUUGUUACUUGCAAUUGGGAAAAUCACCCUUGACCCAAGCAAGUUAAGGGAAGGGAGAAUUUUCUGGGGGCAAAGGUUAGCAUGAAACAUUUGGGAUCCUUUUUGCCCGUGUUGUCCAUAUGGCAUUCCUGCCCGAAUUUGAACUCUUUUGUCCUCAUGGAAGCUCAUGGUCAAAGCUUAGGAUGCACUGAAGUGUCCUUCUGGCCUUGGUCCCCAUGGCGGUGUCCCUGUAAUCAGCUGAUGACCUUGUUCGUGUCAGAUGGAUCCCAGACCUUCCUGGGGUUCCUGCAGUGGUUCACGUUAGAGACUAGAGUUGAAUUUUCCUUUCAUAGCAAUAGCUUUCACGUGUUUUCCAUAAGAGAAAACAGAUGCAGGUGUGGUUAUCUUUUGCAGUCCAUAAAUUUCACAGAGAAUGCAUUCCUUUUUUUUUUUUUUUCCCUCUCUUGGCCUUCCACAGGAAAGGCUGCUGAGGUUUGCCAGGCAUCCAAGACCUUGCUCCUGAGGUGUAACCUCUGAGCCCUGUGCAGUCCACAGCAAGAGACCCAAGCCCGCCCCCCAAACCGCGCACCUGUUUAAACCAUCUGUGGAGCCCAAACACAAUAAAUUUUUCUUGCAGUUCAUUUAUACUAACAGAAUUCACAUGGUUGGAACUGAAUUCUGCAAUUGAGGGAUCUGUGAGGACAUAGCUGGACCUCCCCCAACUGGGCUGCCCUGCUAGUGCUAACACACAUUUCAGUGCAGGGUCCUUUAGAGAUCUCCUAUCCAUGAGCUCAUUUGAGCAAGGAGGAAACCAAAGCAUCUGAUCAGAUGGAGGGACCAGUCUCUCAUGAGGCCCCUGCAGAACGGCAGACAGACUGCUCUGUCUACAACUGCUCAACUCAACUUUCAAUUGUUAAAUACAACCAUUUGGAGAAGGUAUUAGCUGCACCUUAAAUAGACAAUUUUCUAAAGAUAUUUUUACCACUAAAAAAAAGUUCAUGCCUACAGUUAAAAACAGAAUGGUGACAAAAUACUGUUGUGUAACUGCUUUUUUGUUUUAUUUUGUUUUGUUUGCUUUUUAGAGCCAUACCUGUGGCAUAUGGAAAUUCCCUGGCUAGGCGUUGAAUUAGAGCUGCAUCUGCUGGCCUACACCACAGCAGAACACGGAAUGUGAGCCGUGUCUGCAACCUACCCAUAGGUCAUGGUAAUGCCAGAUCCUUAGCCCACUAAGCGAAGCCAGGGAUCAAACCGACGUUCUCAUGGAUGCUAGUCAGAUUCUUAACCCACUGAGCCACGACGGGAACUCCUGUAACUGUUUUCUCUUUUAAUUUAAUUUUUAUUAGAGUAUAGUUGAUUUACAGUGUUGGGUCACUUUCUGCUGUACAGCAAAGUGACCCAGUCAUACCUUUAUAUACAUUCUUUUUCUUAUACUAUAUCCAUCAUGUUCUAUCCUGUACAGCAGGACCUCAUUGCUUAUCCAUUCUAAAUGUCAUAGUUUGCAUCCACUCACCCCAAACUCUCCGUUCAUCCCACUCUCCCACCCCCGCCCCCUUGGCAACCACAAGUCUGUUCUCUAUUUCUGUGGGUCUGGUUCUGAUUUGUACAUAGGUUCAUGUGUGCCAUAUUAAGAAUAACCAGCCUUCCUAACCAUUCAUUUAUAAAGCCAGACAUUUACAUUGUAGCUCAGACACAUCAGCCCCUAGGAUGACUUCAUGCUCAGCAUUCUUGGAUACGUGUAUGUGAUGGCCUUUAUUCUGAAGGAAAGAACGAAGUUAUGUCUUGAGCAAACUCUUCUUCUGCUUCACUACCUUUUUCCUCGUAACUAAUUUUAUUAAUCCUGUUGUGUACAUGGUACUGCCCUUCUGCUAGUUUUCUACUUGAAGAAGGAUUAAAAAUACCCUCGCAAUCUCAAGCAUCAUGAGCAGAACGAAUCACUCGUGAUUAAAUUCCAUAGUGUCAAGACAAUGGCUUUGUUGUGCCGAAAAAUUCCUUAUGGGAAACAAGGCUGAUGCAUGAGGCCUGAUGACAUGAUGAACACGAACGAGUCCAUUCAAAUCUCCUGGUUCACAUUCUGCUGCCAUCUUCCCCUGGUUUCUUUGCUAUUUGGAAGACGUUUCUAUGAUCUCAGAAGUCAGUAUCUCCAUUCAAAACUGACUAUCUCAUUUAAUAAUAUUGUUUCGUUACAUAAUGGUGUUUGUUAUUAAAUAGCAAACAUUUAGUAAUAAUGUUUCAUUACAUUCAAUAAUUGAUGUAUAUGUUUAUGUGAAAAUGUGAGUUUUUAAGAAGGCUCAUAAAAAGGAUUAAAUUAGGAGUUCCCGUCGUGGCCCAGUGGUUAACGAAUCCGACUAGGAACCAUGAGGUUGCGGGUUCGGUCCCCGCCCUUGCUCAGUGGUUAACGAUCUGGCGUUGCCAUGAGCUGUGGUGUAGGUUGCAGAUGCGGCUCGGAUCCCACGUUGCUGUGGCUCUGGUGUAGGCCGGUGGCUACAGCUCCAAUUGGACCCCUAGCCUGGGAAUCUCCAUAUGCCGCAGAGCGGCCCAAAAAAUAGCAAAAAGACAAAAAAAAAAAAAAAGGAUUAUUAAUGAGUAAUAAUGAAUUACUAUUAACACGUUUUCCAAGAUGUAACCAAUCAAUUCAGUUAUAUGGCUGCUUGUGACUAUAGAGCAAUCCCCAAAGGUACAUUGUUUAUGAUGUGGUUUUUCAAUCCAGUUUGUAAGAGAAGAAAUUGUCAACUAAAUUUGUAUCACUACUCAACUUUAGUAGUUGUUAAGGGGAGACCUGAAAAUGGGUGACGAUAGUUUAUUUUCUCAUCUGAGUGAUCAUUUCUUCAUGUGAUUCUCUAUAAUGUAUGAUAUCCUUGUAUAAUUUCUGCAACUGUGUUCAAAACAUUUGGAAGGAGGUGGGGGCCCUGGAGCACAGAUGUGAAGAAAUAACAAAAAUAAAUCAGAAUGUGUGUAGGACAAAGUCAGAGUCUUUUUGAAAAGCAGCAGUGACUGGGGCUUAACAGGUACUGAAAAGAGUUAAAAAAUAGCCAUCAUAAAGUAGUGGCAUAAUGGUUCAGGAACUGAUAAACAUACACAUGUACAUUCCAGAGGCAUUUCCAGAGACAGACAAGAAAUUAAGGUAUGAUAAAGGUGACAUCUUUAUCUGUGGAAACGAGAUUGAGGCAGCUGGCUCUUUUGAAAAUGAAUUCAUGUCUUAGCUCACAAUAUGCAGAUGUUGUAAAGCUUCAAAAAUUAAAAGAAAUGCUAACAAGAACAAAAACAUUGUUUUUAAAAAGAGUGCUAAAAUACUCCUUCUAAAACUUGCACAGUGAUUAAAACAAUGCGUAUGUCUGUUUUAAGCUGAUCAUGCAUAGGUACCAGGGGCUGGAACACUAUGGCAGAUGGACCCCUUCUAACCUGGAGCUGGAUUUGGGGGAGCCCCAUCUAAGAAUGGCUUUUAUAUGUUCAAAGGGUUAUAAAAGGGAAAAGAAAGCAAAUGAGAAUGGACAAAAGGAAGAAAAAGAGAAAAGAGAGACAAAUGAAACCAUAAAGCAUGUGGGACACAGAUACUAUGUAACCUACAAACCCUAAAAUUCUCACUGUCUAGACUUUACAGAACACUCUAUGUCCCCAGCUUUUUAUUAUACACCAAAUAUAAAUAAAGUAUUAAAAAAACAGUACAAGUCAAAUGAAAAUUUGGGGAAAGUAGGAUUUAAAACAUAUCCGAAACUUAGCCUCUUAACCAUAAGAAUACACCAAAAAAAAAAAAAAA
rnacentral:lncRNA from 1 species